UAAUACGGAGGGUGCAAGCGUUAUCCGGAUUCACUGGGUUUAAAGGGUGCGUAGGUGGGCAGGUAAGUCAGUGGUGAAAUCUCCGGGCUUAACCCGGAAACUGCCGUUGAUACUAUUUGUCUUGAAUAUUGUGGAGGUAAGCGGAAUAUGUCAUGUAGCGGUGAAAUGCUUAGAUAUGACAUAGAACACCAAUUGCGAAGGCAGCUUACUACACAAUCAUUGACGCUGAGGCACGAAAGCGUGGGGAUCAAACAGGAUUAGAUACCCUGGUAGUCCACGCCCUAAACGAUGAUUACUCGACGUGUGCGAUACACUGUACGCGUCUGAGCGAAAGCAUUAAGUAAUCCACCUGGGAAGUACGUUCGCAAGAAUGAAACUUAAAUGAAUUGACGG
rnacentral:rRNA from 1 species